UUUGGGAUAUAAAAAAAAGGGAUGGGUUCUAGAAAUCCCUAUGUUCCCUUCCUGCCUUCCCUCCAGCCAAAAAUAAUGAAAGGGGUUUACCCCUUUUAGCUCUUCACUUGUCAAAAAGGAAAUCUAAGGAAGAGGAGUUUAAUUUUCUUUGCUUGUGAAGAUUAGAACAAGUGAGGAUCUUUCCUUUGUCUCCAUUUAAGAUAAGGAAGAGAAGGACAAGGGGACGACACAAGUCGACGAACACCAUGGAAGUUGAAUAUCAAGAAAUUGUGUUGAGGUGUGUAGAGUCGACUAGCUGAUUUUCAAGUGGCAGCUCUAAUGUGGGUUAGUUGACGGGAGUCCAGGCGUACACUUCUUUUGGGUGAGCUGCCAAAGUGUUUGUAUAGUUAGUUUUUGUUUGUAAAUGAUCCUUUUGUGGCGUAGUAGACUAAAAUGAUGUCGACCUCGGUGGGUUGGAGAUUCUACUUACCUGGGCUAUGAAAAUCAUGUAUAUAUAACUACUUGUCUUUUGGCUUGUAUAGUUUUGCUCAUGUACAUUUUCCUCAAAUAGCCUGAAAAUGUUUUCUUGUUAGAAGACCUAAAGGUCUUUUGUGAACUUAUUUUAAUCUGUAAGGUUUUAUGAAUGGCUCUUGAAGAACCACUAUGAACUUGGUUAUGUUUAAAACUGUGGGUGUGUAUCUAUUACCU